AUUGAACGCUGGCGGCAUGCUUUACACAUGCAAGUCGAACGGUAACAGGCCGCAAGGUGCUGACGAGUGGCGAACGGGUGAGUAAUGCAUCGGAACGUGCCCAGUCGUGGGGGAUAACGCAGCGAAAGCUGCGCUAAUACCGCAUACGAUCUAUGGAUGAAAGCGGGGGACCGUAAGGCCUCGCGCGAUUGGAGCGGCCGAUGUCAGAUUAGGUAGUUGGUGGGGUAAAGGCUCACCAAGCCGACGAUCUGUAGCUGGUCUGAGAGGACGACCAGCCACACUGGGACUGAGACACGGCCCAGACUCCUACGGGGGCAGCAGUGGGGAAUUUUGGACAAUGGGCGCAAGCCUGAUCCAGCAAUGCCGCGUGCAGGAAGAAGGCCUUCGGGUUGUAAACUGCUUUUGUACGGAACGAAACGGUCCUGGCUAAUACCCGGGGCUAAUGACGGUACCGUAAGAAUAAGCACCGGCUAACUACGUGCCAGCCGCCGCCGUAAUAC
rnacentral:rRNA from 1 species